rnacentral:misc_RNA from 1 species
GAGUUCAGUCUUCCCAGGCCCACCACGCUUCGCCGUCGGCUUCGCAUGGCACCGCCAGGCAGAACGACGAGGCGAAGCGCGUCCGGCAUAGCCCGAAGGGCGACGCCGGACAGAAAGAGCGCUUCGUCUUCUGGUUACGGGGCCAUAGCUCAGCUGGGAGAGCGCGUGCUUUGCAAGCAUGAGGUCGUCGGUUCGAUCCCGUCUGGCUCCACCAGAUGGUUUGAUCACCGAGAUCUUGACCGUCGUCCGCGAAACAUCACUUCGCAUCCUGCUAGUCUGGAUAGACAGCAAGUUGCGUGUUUUCUGACAUCGUAAAGAGGAGAUCGAUCCGAGUUGGAUCGUGCAACAUAUCGUUGCGCGAGCCUUCAUUAUCUCCGGAUCAUUUCGGCGCUCGCUUCCAGCCGUGAGGUUGGAUGCGGGUUGUAAAUGAUCCUUUUAGCGAAGCUUGACCGCCUCGCUAUCGGAACGAUCUUACGAAGCAAGCUGGUCUUUCUAGUCAAUGUCCGGCUGUACGUAGCAUUCAUCGAGGGUGCGCGCCCGAGAUUUCGGUCUCUUGGCAAUCGUACAGACAACAUUCUGCCGAGUGUGUGGACAUUGAUAAUGAGAGCAAUCAAGUGCCUUAAGGGUGUUCGGUGGAUGCCUUGGCGCUGAGAGGCGAUGAAGGACGUGCUACGCUGCGAUAAGCCGUGGGGAGCUGCGAAGAAGCUUUGAUCCGCGGAUUUCCGAAGGG